CCCGCACAAGCAGUGGAGUAUGUGGUUUAAUUCGAAGCAACGCGAAGAACCUUACCAGGGCUUGACAUCCCUUGAAGCAGCUAGAGAUAGCUGUGUCCUUCGGGACAAGGAGACAGGUGGUGCAUGGUUGUCGUCAGCUCGUGUCGUGAGAUGUUGGGUUAAGUCCCGCAACGAGCGCAACCCCUGUGGUUAGUUGCCAGCAAGUAGCGUUGGGCACUCUAGCCAGACUGCCGGUGAUAAAUCGGAGGAAGGUGGGGACGACGUCAAAUCAUCAUGCCCUUUAUGUCCUGGGCUACACACGUACUACAAUGGCCGUUACAACGGGAAGCGAAGGAGCAAUCCGGAGCAAAUCCCUUAAAGGCGGUCCCAGUUCAGAUUGUGGGCUGAAACUCGCCCACAUGGAGGCGGAAUUGCUAGUAAUUGCAGAUCAGCAUGCUGCAGUGAAUACGUUCCCGGGCCUU
rnacentral:rRNA from 1 species